rnacentral:misc_RNA from 1 species
GAUGAAGAACGUGGCGAAAUGCGAUACUUGGUGUGAAUUGCAGAAUCCCGUGAACCAUCGAGUCUUUGAACGCAAGUUGCGCCCGAAGCCAUUAGGCCGAGGGCACGCCUGCCUGGGCGUCACACGUCGUUGCCCCCCCCAUCUACUCCUUCGGGAUUGCGGGGGGCGGAUGAUGGCCUCCCGUGCGCCUCGCCGCGCGGUUGGCAUAAAUGCCAAGUCCUCGGCGACGCACGCCACGACAAUCGGUGGUUGCGAAACCUCGGUUGCCCGUCGUGUGCGGUCGUCGCGCAUCGAGGGCUCGAAAAAAUUGCCGAGUUCCGGCUCGGCUUUCAACGCGACCCCAGGUCAGGCGGGGUUACCCGCUGAAUUUAAGCAUAUCAAUAAGCGGAGGA